rnacentral:rRNA from 1 species
UAGGGAAUCUUCCACAAUGGACGCAAGUCUGAUGGAGCAACGCCGCGUGAGUGAAGAAGGUCUUCGGAUCGUAAAGCUCUGUUGUUGGUGAAGAAGGAUAGAGGCAGUAACUGGUCUUUAUUUGACGGUAAUCAACCAGAAAGUCACGGCUAACUACGUGCCAGCAGCCGCGGUAAUACGUAGGUGGCAAGCGUUGUCCGGAUUUAUUGGGCGUAAAGCGAGCGCAGGCGGAAUGAUAAGUCUGAUGUGAAAGCCCACGGCUCAACCGUGGAACUGCAUCGGAAACUGUCAUUCUUGAGUGCAGAANAGGAGAGUGGAACUCCAUGUGUAGCGGUGGAAUGCGUAGAUAUAUGGAAGAACACCAGUGGCGAAGGCGGCUCUCUGGUCUGCAACUGACGCUGAGGCUCGAAAGCAUGGGUAGCGAACAGGAUUAGAUACCCUGGUAGUCCAUGCCGUAAACGAUGAGCGCUAGGUGUUGGGGGACUUUCCGGUCCUCA